GAGUUUGAUCCUGGCUCAGGAUGAACGCUGGCGGCGUGCUUAACACAUGCAAGUCGAACGGAGUUAUGAAGAAGCUUGCUUUUUAUAACUUAGUGGCGGACGGGUGAGUAACGCGUGGGUAACCUGCCGUAUGCCGGGGGACAACAGUUGGAAACGACUGCUAAUACCGCAUAAGCGCACAGAUAGGCAUCUAUCAGUGUGAAAAACUCCGGUGGCAUACGAUGGACCCGCGUCUGAUUAGGCAGUUGGCGGUGUAACGGACCACCAAACCGACGAUCAGUAGCCGGCCUGAGAGGGUGAACGGCCACAUUGGGACUGAGACACGGCCCAAACUCCUACGGGAGGCAGCAGUGGGGAAUAUUGCACAAUGGGGGAAACCCUGAUGCAGCGACGCCGCGUGAGUGAAGAAGUAUUUCGGUAUGUAAAGCUCUAUCAGCAGGAAAGAAAAUGACGGUACCCGACCUAAGAACGCCCCGGCUAACUACGUGCCAGCCGCGGC
rnacentral:rRNA from 1 species